rnacentral:rRNA from 1 species
GAGUUUGAUCGUGGCUCAGGAUGAACGCUGGCGGCGUGCCUAAUACAUGCAAGUCGAGCGGAAACACUUCGGGUGUCGAGCGGCGGACGGCUGAGUAACACGUAGGAACGUACCCAAACUGAGGGAUAAGCAUCGGAAACGGUGUCUAAUACCGCAUGUGCUCUAAGGAGUAAAGCUUCGGCGGUUUGGGAACGGCCUGCGCAUGAUUAGCUUGUUGGUGAGGUAAUGGCUCACCAAGGCUUCGAUCAUUAGCUGGUCUGAGAGGAUGACCAGCCAGACUGGGACUGAGAACGGCCCAGACUCCUACGGGAGGCAGCAGUAGGGAAUUUUCCACAAUGGGCGAAAGCCUGAUGGAGCAACGCCGCGUGCAGGAUGAAUGCCUUCGGUUGUAAACUGCUUUAUAUGUGAAGAUUUUGACGGUAACAUAUGAAUAAGGAUCGGCUAACUCCGUGCCAGCAGCCGCCGUGAG